rnacentral:rRNA from 1 species
UACGUAGGGGGCAAGCGUUGUCCGGAUUUAUUGGGCGUAAAGAGCGUGUAGGCGGCUUGACAGGUCUGCUGUGAAAACUCGAGGCUCAAACCUCGAGAUGUCGGCGGAAACCGUCUGGCUAGAGUCCGGAAGAGGAGAGUGGAAUUCCUGGUGUAGCGGUGAAAUGCGCAGAUAAUCAGGAGGAACACCAAUGGCGAAGGCAGCUCGCUGGAACGGUACUGACGCUGAGGCGACGAAAGCCGUUGGGGAGCAAACAGG